UCCAACCCGCGUAAGAAACGGUUUCUUACAGUAAGGAGUUUGCGCAGAAGUUGAAAAGCGUUCCAACCGGAUUUACUGACGGUUAGUAAAUCAUUUGUUUUCUGUUCCAACUUAAAUUGAAAACUGUUUGAAAACUGUCAGAACGGUUUGCAAAAUUUUCUCCUAUCAUUUAUCCGACGCAUGCGUAUUACCGUUAUAACCUAUAACCACGUCAUAACCAAUAAAAUAAUAGCAAAUUUGAUUAUACUCGUAUCUGUUUGAAUAAUUUAAACGGACUGUUCAACUAAUUAAAGACUUGUAAACAGAUAUCAUAAUUAAAUCGCAAUGAGUGACGAAGAGUAUAGUAGUGAGAUUAGUGACGUGUCGUCCAUGGAAAGUAGUGAUGAGGAGGAUUUAGAAUUACUACUAGAUGAGCACAGAAUUAAUAAUCAAAAUUAUUGAGGUAAAAUCGACAUUUUUGCACAUAAAUUUAUCUAAUAUCUUAUUGUGUUAAUAUUUUCAGAGGAAACUGUGCCUCAAGAUUCCAAUUAAUUUCCAAUUCCAAUUUAAUAGCCAAGUUGGCCAAUAUGGCAAUAUUCCUGCUUUGCAUCAAGUUCUCAUCUAUUGUGGUAUACGGGACACCAGACUACAAGUUUUCGAGAUGUUGCCGAUAGAUUUAAUGUGAAAAUUAGUUCAAUAAAUAGGAUUAUUUAUCGAG